rnacentral:lncRNA from 1 species
GUCUGUGUCUGGUCUCCAAGGGAAGGCUGGGCAGAGGCUGGAUGGCAGAGUUUGUUUUUUAAACGUUUGCUGAAUGACUGCUGCAAACAACUCAGGCAUGGGAGAAUUAGCCUGCAGCUUGGUAUCAGAGAUUAGGAUUCAUCAAGUAUUCAGUCUUUCAUUCAUUAAUUCAGCAAAUAUGCACCGAAGACCCACUACACGCCAGCCACUUUUCUAGACACUUGAAACUACCACAAAGAAGAAGACAGACAAGUUUCCUGCUUUCACAGAGCCGGAACCAGGAGGAACCAGGCACUGAGGAUUCUGAGGGGUUCUAUUCCAGAGGUGGGGAGGAAGAAUGCCUGAACAUCUUUGGACAUGUCUUUUUCCUCACCACGUUGGGUGGGUUUUUGGAAAGGCGAGAGCAAGUGUCCUUGCUUCCCAUCAGUGCUGUCAGAGAGUCCACAGUGAUUCCCCAGAACCCGGUUACAAACCAACCCUGCAUUCACCUACAAGAUGAAACUGCUUUUGUACCAUUUUAAAGACAGGACAACUUUGGAAACAUUAAUAUAUAUCAUUUCUACAUUUUAGGCAUUUUCACAUUUUAGGUUAUUGGUUUAGAAAAAAAUAUUAGCAAAUUGGACAAUUUUGACAAAUUGAGAAUCCCGAGAGGGCUACAAGAUUGAUUGUGAGAGGCAGCCCGAGGGUCAUUUUCACAAAUGGUACUUUCUAGGAAGUCCACACAAAACAUGUAAGAAAAGUAAUUGCUCAACCUAAUUCAGUUCAAUAAGUCAGUAUAUACCAUCUUAGUUUCCUCCUAAAGGCUGGGCAGGUUUAAAUUUCCCCCCAGCACAAUACUUUUCUAAAGUCUAAUGUAAAAGUACAAUAAAGGUGAAAGGACCCUGCCCUUACUCA